CAUCCCGGAUGUUGAGUCUGUAGUAUACAUCCCAGAUCUGGUCCCGGAUGCGGUAGGCUGACCGCCGCAUCAACAGCUGACUCAGCUCAGGGAGUUCACUGACCCAUUAGGAAAACCAGGAUGGAGUCCUCAAGUGAAAAUUGCAAACUUCUCCUUGCACCUUGGAAGAAGGCUGAAUUACCAACAUUCAGAAUUGAAUGAAUUUGGGGGAGGGGGGCAGGAAAUGAGGAAGAAGGGAGCAGGUCACAGCAGCCUGAAUGCAAAGAGCCUCAGUAAAAUGGACCUCUCCUGCUAAUCUUGGACCUGAUAUUAAGUAAGUUUAAGGGCCUCUAUUUCUUCAUCUGUAAAAUGGGAUAAAUUACACCUCAACAGGGCUGCUAUAAUGAGUCAGUGGGAUAAAUAAAGAGAACACCCAGUGUAGUA